rnacentral:tRNA from 1 species
GGGGGGUUAGUUCAGUUGGCUAGAACGUCUGCUUUGCACGCAGAAGGUCGUGGGUUCGAGUCCCACACUCUCCA